rnacentral:lncRNA from 1 species
AGUUCCCAGACAGAUUCAUCAUUAUACUUUUUCAGAAAUGUCACGUCUAGCCCACGUUCAGGCUUUACCUCCAUCAUUUCCUACACCUAACAUCAUGGCCUUUUUCAACUUCCACAUCUUUAUCAUCACCAUUGUGAUUUAGCCAUGUGUCCCACGAUGAUCAGCAAGAACUUAAACGUUUUUUAUCAUCUUCUUUUACAAAUAUUCACAACCCAUUUUCUCUGAAAC